ACAUUAUUGCUGAGAACGUACAGGACUAAUGCCUGAAAUUUGCUCUGUGUUGAUGCUGGUGAUAAGCAAUGAGAUAAACCUUUGCCAAUAUUUUACUCUCUUAUCAAAAAAAUCAAUAAGAGUGCUUCCUGGCAAAUAGCACGUUUGACACGUGGCCUGUCUCUCUGGGUAUCUGAGAGGCCGGCAGACACCCAGCAUCCCCAGUACUGUGUCUCCCUGGAAGAUGAAGGGCUCAGGGGACAGAGGGGGCUCUGCCACCCUCUCAUGCUCCAUGCCUCUGUCCUUGGUGUCUGCCCAGGGAGGCUCUGCAAGUCUUGGCACAGCCAUCCCGCACUGCCCCCUGUGCCCUCCAUCUUUCCACUGGGUAGCUUGGAAAAGAAAACGCCACAGCAAUACUGAGCACGGUACUGAUCCAUCAAGGGCUUUUCUGGAGACUAGUGCAGACUAUUAGUGCUGGGCAUUAAUGGUUUACUCACAGUCCUAUCUGUGCUUUCACAUCCAGGUAACACUUUCCAGCCUGACUCCUGCAGCCCCCUCCUCAUCCUCCCCUUUAUUUCCUACGAGCCAUGUGCUGCUUGCAGUGGCACCCUCCUACUAACAUAAUUCAUUGUCACUUAGAAGAUGAUUCACUGCUAGAGACGUUGUUAGCUUAGAUUAAAACACCUUUACAUAGAUAAGGCUAGAGAAGGGAAAGAUGGCUGCCAAAAAGACACAGUCUUUGUGCACUGGCUCAUAUCUUGCUAUUAGCCAUCAAGGAAAAAGAAAUAGCAAAAAGCUUCCUAAGGGCUGAGGGAAGUCCCAAAGAAAUCUAUCCACUGUUUAAGAGUUAAUAUGAGUGUCACCAGUGGUCUUAAGAACAGUAAGUAUACAAUGAUUGACUGGGGAGUGCCUGUGCACCUCCCACACAAUCUCCUCUCUGGUUUAUUCAUCCUCCUAGCCCAGUGGGUGCUGGUGUAGCACUACCUGGUUGUGAACGGCCUAAUGUCUAGCUGAAGCCAUGGUUCUUGAGGUCUGUAAUACACAUCCCAUAAAAUGGGAAAGUUUAGAGAAAUUGAAGUCUCAUCCCUUUUGGCGCCCUUCUUUUCCAGAGUAUGUGGAUGCUGAGGUGGAAGUUUAUUGAUGCUUGAGCUAUGAAGCUAUGAAAUGGAGGAAGCUAUGAAAUCAAGGAAGCUGUUGCUCCCACCCACGAUUUGAAGGAUGACUUCUGCUUCAAGAGCUUCUGGUAUUCAUGUUUCUAUUAUACCCAAGUGGAAUAUUGCAAUUUCCAUUUCCUAAUGGCUACAGAAAUAUCUUUAAACAGCUAGACAAAGUUACCGUGGCCAUGAGCAGCAUACGAUAACUGUUAGCUAAACAUAAGACCAAACCCUUAUGUUACACAUCAAAUGAAAGUUUAAAAUAGUUUCUAAGUGUCCUUAGUAAGACUGAAAGACAAAUUUAGUCAAGAAACACAGAAUGCAUCACUGCAAAACUACUCUUUUAGCUCUUAACAGUGCUCACCCUGAAUCUCUCUGAGCCCAAUUCUGCCUCCUUUAUAACAAGAAAAGUAAUUUGGUUUUAAAUAGUUCGUAGAAGGUACUUCCAAGGAAAGCUGCCUGGGUAAAGACUAUUGUAAGUGGCCUCCCAAGCAUUUGUUUUGUAAGUUACCUGACCCGCUGUCUUUUGUUUUGUUUAACUUUGGCUGUUAAAUCUGAUCAACAACUUCCCUGAGGAUAGUUCUCUUGAAAGUAACAAUUCCACCCAAAACUCAGGAGCUGCAUCAGAAAGUUGCAUAAGGUGUAAAAGCUCUGGUGUUAGACAGUGGUCCACAAAUUGUGACAGGUAAGCAAGCUUUCCUCAGCACAUGUAGAAAUUCAUGAUGAGAAUCUUAAGUACAGAAUCGGCUGAUGUACUUUGUGACCAGCUUGGUCAAGUUAGCAAUUUGGAUUAGUCUUUGCUCACAAUGCUUUUAGGAGGAAACUUAACAGAGAAAGUUUUUUACUGUAAUUUGGCUAACUGUGUCUGAGCUAGAAUGCAAUUUGCUUUGUAUACACUUCCCCGUUUUGAACAGUUAUGCUCUUAAAAAGCCUGGAUGAAGUCAGCAGUAUCAUUUGUUGACCCGCUGGGAAGAGCUGACCUGCUGGGGUCUGUUGACCUUCCUGGAAUAGCAGGGGGUGGCUGAGAGGGGGACGGUGACCUGCAGACCAAGACUUUUGGUGGAAUAUAAUCUUUUCUGUGUUGACUUAUGCUUGACAUUAGAGGUGGUAGUGACAUUCACUUACACACUUCUGUUAAGUAAGCAGGUGGCUCUUGUAUUACCUUAGCCCCGUGCAGCAUAGCCAUGGGUGCUGUGGGUACAUGCGAGGAUAUGAAAGGAAUGACUGCCAUACCUUGGAGGGACACGGGGUGGAAUGUUUAUUAGGCCAUAUAGAAAAACCAGCUCUGUUUGCAACCCUCAAACUGGAUUUGAACAGGUGAAAUUCCUUCCAUUGCUAUGACUGUAUAUACUUCCAACAACAGCCUGGGGAAUUAAAUCUUAAAGGAAAAAAAAAAAUCGGAAUGUAAUACGAUGAAAACCAUAAGAGGAAACUAUACCUGUGCAGCAUAUGGUAGACAUUUGGUGUGACCCUUCACUCGCUAGUAUUGCGCGGGAGUCUUGUGCAGGAACCCUGACAACCCAGAACUGCUGCAUUUUAUGGUACAAAUCUACCCUGAAAAGUGCCUGGUUAACUUCAGCCUCGAUUGGUUUGCUUCCUGAGCAUGUCCAAACUGGGACAGCUGAAUUUAAUGACAGAGUAAAUUGUUAAUACUUCAUUUCUCUCUCACUAGACCAGAUCCAGCUUUGCUUUGGGAAUGCGAGCUGUGCUGGCCUUUCCGUCACACCUCGGGGCGCUGAGUGAAUUCAAGCUGCAGCAACUUGACUUUUGGGGUGGGGAAGUUGCAGGUUUAUGGUGAGCAGAAGAGGUGGUGAAGUGUUUUACAGGAGCUUUUGCCCCAGCCCAGAAAUGAAGCCACCCCCUCUCUUCCCCCUGGUGAGGAAUUGGCUGCUCAGGAAUUUAAGGAGUGUGACAUCCAGAUCUGGAAGUCACAGCUUUGGCCCUUCUCAAACUCAAAAACUGUUCACCUAAUCUAAAUCCAGCACAACUGGCACAAGGGAGAGCCACCAGCCAGAAAGCUGUUACACGAUUCACCGAAAAUAGCCGAGCGACUAACGGGCCGGGGGGUGAUGAGGAGCCUUCUGAACCAUCACUGCUGCGGGGUACCAGCCUGCUGCUUGUGGUCCACUUCGGAGCAAAGUUUAAAAGGCUAAUUAACACCCUGUCACCAGGAGGGCAUCCCUUCAGACCCAUCCGUUCAGCGUGCCCUUGAAACCAGCUGGGAUCCCUCAGCCAGCCCAUGGCUUGGUCCCAGCUGAGGGGGAGCAAACUCCUGAGAUCGCCUGGUACCAGGCUCAAUGCAAAGUCACUCACCUGCAGCUCUGCAUGGUCCACCCCUGGCCUCACUAUGCCACAUAUUACCGGCCGGGUAGCUUGCUUUUAUUUCUCAAUACCAUACAGAGAGUGCUAGCCUCAAUAUCUUUGCUCUCAGAAUUAAUUUCAGCCUCCCAGCCCAUGCUGCGUUGCCGCUAGGCCCUCGUUUGCCUGACCGGGUGGCACGGCACAUCUUUGGGAACGUGUUGGCUCCGUGAGAGCCAGAUUCCUUUUCUGAAUGGAAAAUUUUAAGCUAUUCCCACCAGUGACAUCACGGCGUUCUCCACUCCCACAGCCACAAAGGCGCAUAUUGAUAGGCAUGACAUUUCCCUUUAAUGCUUUCAUUGUUUCCAGCAUUUUGUUUGGGCUGUUGCUUGAAGCCAAAAAAGCAAGACAAAAGGCAAAGUAUGUUAAAGGGAGACCCGGGCUGCGUGCAAAUAUGUCGCACGAGAAAAUCUCUGACUCCAGGCAAUUUUCAGGGAAUUUGCUUUCCACGGGGCUUCUCCCGAGUGAUUUAGGAUAACGCCAUCAACUGGAACUGCCACCUCCUUCCUCUAACUCACUUCAGGCUCAUGCUUGGGUAUUGCCGCGCUAUGCAGGGAUCUGGCAUGGGUUUUCAGAGCCUAUUUUGAAAGAUUUGUGUCAGCUGCAUCGAAGAGCACACUAACAGGAGCUCCUGAAGCCACACCAAGCUUGCCUUGUGGACUCCUCAGGACUGGGACCCUGCAUCCUCAAGGGACGUUCAUGCGUUUGGUGCAGGGCAGAAAGGAGAAGGGGAACGCUGACCUUUGCACCAUGUACCUUUCUAAAGAGAUAGAAAAGCUCAGAGCGGACUUUGAUUUUGCCUCUUGCAGUAUCGAUCCAAGUUCCGUAUUGUUGGCCUUUCAGGGAAAUUCGGCGUGGGGCAGGGUUGGGCACUGAGUUUCCUGAGCACAUUAGUCAUCAGAAAGGAGAGAGCUGAAGAGUGCAGCUGAUGGGGGUGAGCUCUGGGGCUGUGUAUGAGGAUCUUUGCAAGACCCUCAGCGCUUGGAAGCUGCAGUUCCUUCCACAGCGAGGACUGACUCAGAAGUUAAAUCAAACCUCUGGCUGCGUAGAAUCCCCUGCACUUUACAUGGACCACUUACCUGGGCUGAGAUACUCCUGCAGGGGACAACCUGUUUCAUUUUGACUCUUACCAGCAUGGAAGGGGACGAGUUAGUUACUGAAUUGUCCGGGGUUUGCCAGACACAGGCCGUGUGGCUCUGGGCACAAGAGAUGCUGAUGCGGGAAUGGGAUGGAGGUCAGGGGAAGCAUGGUGUGCCAGAAAAUGGGAGAGAGGUCUGGGGACAAGGCUCACGUGAAAGAGUUCGAUGGGGAAGGAAGAUCUGGCAGCAAGGUGAGCUGAGGCUGGGCCAAGCCCUGCUGAAAAUGGCCUUUGUUACCUGGUAGCAGCAACCCCAAAUGCCCUUUUUAUUUUCCUUCUACCAUGGAAUUACUUCAAACAAACAGAAAUGAACCAAAACAGCCGUGCCUUUCACCACGGGAGCUCUCAUGUCCAGGGUCAGCAGGGAGGGAUGGCUUGUGUCUGUGCCCACAUGCAGGUUCUGGUGGGUCGUGCUCCUUACUGAGCCCCGGAGAAGGUUGUGGAUAUUUUAAUCAUAAAUUCCAGCCCUGGACAAUUUCAUUUGCACCAUUAGCCGUGCUUUGUCCCGGCACAAAGCAGCUCGUCUGGAGUGAGGCUGCAUGGGCAUGAUUUACAGUGACGGCUGGGGACGGUGGCUGGGGCUUUCAGCCUGCCCCACGGCUGUGUAGCAGCUGAGAGGAGCCUCCAAAACCAUCUUAAAAGCUGCCUCUUGGAAGGGAGCCAUGUGGAUACCUGUCCCAUCCCUGUCCUUGGGCAUCCAGACCCAGGAAGGGGCUUCAGAGCUCCCAAACCCCAACUCACAGCUCAAGUCUCCAUCUCCAGGACCCGAGACCCUUGGCUGAGAUGACAGACUUCAGGAUCUUGGCCAAGAGGAACCAGAUAAUAAUCCUUAGAAAAGCUGGCACAGAGGUUUCUGCUCACAUUGCAGGUCCCGUGUGUCAGCCUGCUUGGCAGCUCGGGAUCCUGCCUGCCCAAAGCAGGGUGACACAGGGCCUGGGGCAUCGCCCCUGAGCCGGGACAGAGACCCUCCUUGGGUCCCGGUGCCUGCAAAGGAGACGUCUGCUGCUCUGAAUUGGCAGCUCUCCUCUCCUCCCGGCUCUUUCCGUCUCCAGGAAAGGAAACCAAUUUCCUUUGCAAAGUAAUCUGAGCUCCAGGAGUUAAAAGUGCUAUUUAAAGAGCGAGGCGAUGCUGCCGUACGAGGAGCUCACGGUUUGGAGAAAGCUCUCCGCCUCCGUGUGUAAAAACUAGGCUAAUAAUGGUUUUCUGCCUCAUGCAAGCUGGUGGGAAUUAAUUAAUUUUAAAAGCAGUUGGAAGCACAGCCACAACAUAGGUGCUAAUUUUUAUUUAUUAAUAUUUCAUGUUCGCAAUAUAGGACUAAUUAUGUGCAUGGCAAAGAGUGCAUUUUCCAUGCUAUUAACUCAAUCUUAAAGGUUUAGAUUGUACUUACGUUUAUCUGUACCUCAAAAAAAAAAAAAGUGUUGCAUGAGAUGAAAAUGUGUGUGUGUGUGUGGGGGGGUGCUCUCUUAAGUGUGAUCUUUAUUAUGCUGUUUCAAUCCCAUCUCACGCUGAGCCUGUCAAGACCAAACAUCUGGCUGUUGCCGUAGCACGCGAUGCCUCCUGAAUUGCCAACUCCUGGCCAGGAGGAGGAGGCUCAGAAGAAGCAGAAGGAGGUGGAGGGGUGGGGAAGGAGCCAGAUUUGUUUCCCAUAGUUUGGCAGUGACGAGAAGGGAGAGUGGUUUUGUGCUUGCUGCGGAGCAGGCAGGACCCUGUGCAGUGCUCUGAGGACUUCUGUGCACACUGAUGGGGACGCACGGACAUGUGCCCACCUGCUUUGGGCAGGUCCCUGGUAUCGCAUGGUCUUUGCUCAUGCUUUAUCUCCCCUGCAGUUGGGACCCAUUUCCAGAGCUUUAGAGCGUGAUUAGCUCAGAAACAAAACAGUGGGAAAUGGCAAACAUCUUUCACCACUUCCCAGUUGACCCAAAUUACAGGUUUGUGUUUAGAUGGACUUAACUAUUUCUGCAUAUGUGUUUGUUAGAGGUGUAUAGGGAAGAUGUCCCUGUUGUACUCACUAUAGGAUAGCACUUGUGUCUUCCUGCAUGCUUGUAUAGUAGAUAAAUUAGAGGGGAGCCCCUGAUGCUCUGGCAGUGAAUAUGAUCUUUGUUCCACCCUAGAGAAAAGCACUUUUAAAGAAGCUCAGAAACGAAACUGGAAAAUGAAAAUAUUCUUUGUAGCAUUGUCUCCCUGCCAAGUCUGAUAAAGUCACCGGGGGAAUGGGAAACCUCUGGAAAGUCUAGCGGGAAGUCUAACUGCAGAGAAUUUGUAGAGAUGCGAAAGAAGAUCUUUAAAUACUCUUUUCUCUGCUCCGACUCAUCUAGGAGCUGCAGUAAACCCUGGUGUUUCCUAGUCCUUCAAUCAGACGCACAACAAGGAUUUAAAUAAAUAAUAUAAAAAUGGACAACAUCCUAUUUGCAUCCCCUGGGCUUUGAAGGGGCACAGAUUGGAGGUUGUGGGGGAAGUCAUCAGAGAGGUCUAAAACUUAAAUGCAUUGAAAGUAAAACAGCCUCAGUUUGGGUCAUUUUUUGAAGAAAAACGGGUCCCUGUGAAAAGAACUCGGUAAUGCACAAAGUUCAAAGCUGAGCAAAGGAGACAUCUGAAAGGUGAUUCAAAAUUAUAGGCAGAAGCUGGAGAGGUGCCCAGGUGUGAUAGACAGGGCUCAGCUUUAGAGCUCUUUAGAUAAAGAAGGAAGUUAAUUUUUAACUUUAACUAGGAUUUUUGCGCACUGAAAGGUGUGCAGUAAUUCCCUGGGAUGCAGCAUAAUGAGCAACACAAGC